rnacentral:rRNA from 1 species
UGAACGCUGGCGGUAGGCCUAACACAUGCAAAUCGAACGGCAGCACAGUAAGAGCUUGCUCUUACGGGUGGCGAGUGGCGGACGGGUGAGGAAUACAUCGGAAUCUACUUUUUCGUGGGGGAUAACGUAGGGAAACUUACGCUAAUACCGCAUACGACCUACGGGUGAAAGCAGGGGAUCUUCGGACCUUGCGCGAUUGAAUGAGCCGAUGUCGGAUUAGCUAGUUGGCGGGGUAAAGGCCCACCAAGGCGACGAUCCGUAGCUGGUCUGAGAGGAUGAUCAGCCACACUGGAACUGAGACACGGUCCAGACUCCUACGGGAGGCAGCAGUGGGGAAUAUUGGACAAUGGGCGCGAGCCUGAUCCAGCCAUACCGCGUGGGUGAAGAAGGCCUUCGGGUUGUAAAGCCCUUUUGUUGGGAAAGAAAAGCAGCAGGUUAAUACCCCGCUGUUCUGACGGUACCCAAAGAAUAAGCACCGGCUAACUUCGUG